rnacentral:rRNA from 1 species
GACGAACGCUGGCGGCGUGCCUAAUACAUGCAAGUCGAACGAGAGCGACCGGUGCUUGCACUGGUCAAUCUAGUGGCGAACGGGUGAGUAACACGUGGGUAACCUGCCCAUCAGAGGGGGAUAACAUCCGGAAACGGAUGCUAAAACCGCAUAGGUCUUCGAGCCGCAUGGCUUGAAGAGGAAAAGAGGCGCAAGCUUCUGCUGAUGGAUGGACCCGCGGUGCAUUAGCUAGUUGGUGAGGUAACGGCUCACCAAGGCCGUGAUGCAUAGCCGACCUGAGAGGGUGAUCGGCCACAUUGGGACUGAGACACGGCCCAAACCCCUACGGGAGGCAGCAGUAGGGAAUCUUCCGCAAUGGACGCAAGUCUGACGGAGCAACGCCGCGUGAGUGAAGAAGGUUUUCGGAUCGUAAAACUCUGUUGUUAGAGAAGAACAAGUGCUAGAGUAACUGUUAGCGCCUUGACGGUAUCUAACCAGAAAGCCACGGCUAACUACGUG